ensembl:lncRNA
AGGAGAUUCUGUUUUACCACUAACAGUUCCAGUGACAAGACUGUGCCUUAUGAAUACAUUUUUGUGUUUUACUGUUUAGUUGUCUCCUCAGUAAAAUAAAUUGCCAAAAUUUUAGUUAAAGUGUUCAAUGAUGUUAUUUACUGAAUUGAACUGGCAGAGAUUAUAGUUUAGAUGCAUGUUAAAAACAAUUUUUGUUUGAAAAAAUGUAAAAGGCAUCCUCCUACAGCAUAUAAUUUUCUCCUGAAAUGUACACUGAGACCCAUAGGAGCUGAUUGCAGUAAUGCUGUAUGUCUAACUCCUUGAUUGUUCAGACCUAGUAGCACAGUUCUACUGAUAAUAUGACAAAUACCAUGAAGGAAAGUCCAGUUUGAAUUUUCUUAUUAAUUCUGCAAACAUGGAUUGGAUUCCAAUUUAGUGCAAAAGGUAUCAUGACUGAUUGACAACCAUUUAGAGAUAGGUGUCCAGUGAUAAUCUAUGAAACAUGAGAUUAUAACUUUGCCACUAAACCUUAGGUUUGAAUGAAAUCAGGACCAAAAUAAAAAUUUUGUACUACAGAAAUAAAAAUUGUAGUACAAAAUAAAAAUGUUGUAGUACAGACAUAAGUGAGUAAAUCUUUAAAGUUUGAAAUUUGAAGCUUGGGACCAUUUAGCCAGAGAUUUCUGCUGGGUAACAUGGAUCACUCAGUUCUGUAAUCCUAUGAAAUAAAAAUUUUCUUUGUCCCAGAGGGUAGGCAAUUUUCUGGUGCAGGUGGCAGGAGAUGUUGACAGUAAAAGCAGCAAUAAAUUCAAGGAGAUAGUGAAAGGAGUAUAGAUCUCACUGUGAGCUGUCACCAUGACUAAGAUACCCUGACUGUUCAUGCUGGCCAGUUUUCUGUUUUAUAUAAGACACAGAGAGAAGAAGGAAAAAAGAAGUGAUGGUCUCAGAAUUUGGUGUGAAUACUUACCAAAUAUUUAUUAAUCAUCAGAAAGCAAACACUGUCUCAAAAUGCCAUGACAGCAGGACUUCUGCAAGAACAGAACCAGAAGGUGGAAAGUGCAUUUUAGAGCAUUUGCCAUUAAAAAAAGGACAUGAAUAAAGGUAUACUGGAAAACUCAAGGAAGCAAUGAGGCACCAUGACAGAUGGCAGUACAGACCUUCAAGAGCAUAAGCAUUUCUACAAGUAGUUUUAGUCUACUUCUCUAAAUUUUAGUUAGAUAAGUAGAGUUUUAAUGAUGAAUUUAAAAGCAGACAAAGGAACAGUUUUGAAGAUAUUUACAAAGAAUUUCCCAAGGUGAAUGACUACACAUUGAUGUUUAUUUGAAAAUUUAAUAAUGUGAUGAAGAAGGACUAAUAUGAGCUACUGAAGGGCAGAAAAAAAUUCUCUUGAUACUACAGAGACAUAAACAUAAGUUUGGAAUUUUGAAAGUGAAGACAAGCUGUUAAUUUUUGAUAUGAUGAAAACAAAGAGGAGACUUUAGAAACAUUCAAGAUAAAGGGUAAUACAGAACAUGAGAUUAUGAGAACCUGGAUCAAAGCACUUGUGUAUAAAUGGAAAGGAGAGAACUUAUAGGUUAAAACUUACAGGUUAAAAUGUUUGAGUAUGUGAUGUAAGGAAGGAUCAAUAGGCAUAAUACUGGUAUUCACAGUACAUGAGAUAAUGAGGCAACUGCAGGGCUCAAUUACAGCAAGAAACCAAGAUGUGUCUGUUAACCAUACACUAGAUGGUUGAACCUUACAUUCUGUUAGCAUGAUGUGACAGUUAUUUUCUGUGGACUAGAAGAUUGCAUUUGGGCCUGAUUAGAGAGGUCUGAAAUAUAGAAAUAAAUUUAUGCUUUUUUGCCUAAAAUAGUUGAAU